AUUGAACGCUGGCGGCAUGCCUUACACAUGCAAGUCGAACGGUAACUGGUCUUCGGAUGCUGACGAGUGGCGAACGGGUGAGUAAUACAUCGGAACGUGCCUAGUAGUGGGGGAUAACUACUCGAAAGAGUGGCUAAUACCGCAUGAGAUCUACGGAUGAAAGCAGGGGAUCGCAAGACCUUGCGCUACUAGAGCGGCCGAUGGCAGAUUAGGUAGUUGGUGGGAUAAAAGCUUACCAAGCCGACGAUCUGUAGCUGGUCUGAGAGGACGAUCAGCCACACUGGGACUGAGAAACGGCCCAGACUCCUACGGGAGGCAGCAGUGGGGAAUUUUGGACAAUGGGCGCAAGCCUGAUCCAGCAAUGCCGCGUGCAGGAUGAAGGCCUUCGGGUUGUAAACUGCUUUUGUACGGAACGAAAAGCCCCGGGUUAAUACCCUGGGGUCAUGACGGUACCGUAAGAAUAAGCACCGGCUAACUACGUGCCAGCAGCCGCAGUAA
rnacentral:rRNA from 1 species